CCUUGAAGUAUCUGUUAAGCAUCUCACUCACAUUACUCUCAUCCUCACCACUCAAAGCGUCACUUCAGCAGUCCUUUCACCAGCCACUGGUAUCCAUACGCUGGUCUUCACGUGGCGGCAAGCACAGAUAAACUUCUCAAGACCGAUUCCUUUCGCUACUUCGUUUGAUAUUCCUUCCAAGUCCUUCACCACGAAAGUUUCCACUAUUUUGUCAGUCAGCGGCGCCUUACUGACACCAAGAACACUGACCUUGCUACCACCACCGCCACUGCCACAAGCACCACCGCCACCGCCACACUACUGAUUGGGUUACGUCCAGGACACUACCACCACCACCACCACCAGGCGAGGGUGACGCGCCUACCCGCUCUGAAAGAAGGCAGAGGAUAAAGCCUGAUUUCCAUACCUACAUCACCCCACGCCAUACCACACGCCGCCUCGCACCGCCACACACCACGCCACGUCCUGUCAUCCCGCUGCCCAGCCGUCCCCUCACCGCUCCCGCGUCGAGCCAACCCUGGGACAUCACUCGCCAGGCCAAUGAGCAAUGGUGGCAGCAGUGGGAUCGGAGAAGUCGCAAGUAAUUUAUUUAAAGUGCUUAAUUAUCGGGGAUAACAUGGGAGAGGGUUUGCACGCCAGUGAGAAUCUGUUGAGUGUAUAAUUAUUAUGAAUGGCAGGGUA